UUUCAACAUUUUACAAGGAAUAAUUGUAAACAGGGCCAAGAUGAUGCAAACAAAACCACUGGUGUCAAAAUCCAUCAAGAACAGAAGAAAUAGAAGAAUUUUCUUUGAAUUG